rnacentral:rRNA from 1 species
CCUACGGGAGGCAGCAGUGGGGAAUAUUGGACAAUGGGCGAAAGCCUGAUCCAGCCAUGCCGCGUGUGUGAAGAAGGUCUUCGGAUUGUAAAGCACUUUAAGUUGGGGAGGAAGGGUUGUAGAUUAAUACUCUGCAAUUUUGACGUUACCGACAGAAUAAGCACCGGCUAACUCUGUGCCAGCAGCCGCGGUAAUACAGAGGGUGCAAGCGUUAAUCGGAAUUACUGGGCGUAAAGCGCGCGUAGGUGGUUUGUUAAGUUGGAUGUGAAAUCCCCGGGCUCAACCUGGGAACUGCAUUCAAAACUGACUGACUAGAGUAUGGUAGAGGGUGGUGGAAUUUCCUGUGUAGCGGUGAAAUGCGUAGAUAUAGGAAGGAACACCAGUGGCGAAGGCGACCACCUGGACUAAAUACUGACACUGAGGUGCGAAAGCGUAGGGGAGCGAAACAGGAAUUAGAUACCCUGGUAGUCCACGCCGUAAACGAUAGUCAACUAGCCGUUGGAAGCCUUGAGCUUUUAGUGGCGCAGCUAACGCAUUAAAGUUGACCGCCUGGGGGAGUAACGGCCGGCAAAGGGUUAAAACUUACGAAAGUUAAGUUAGGACGNGAGAGNGCGACGGAGGCACGACGGAGGGUUAGG